rnacentral:tRNA from 1 species
GCCCUGCUAGCUCAAUCGGUAGAGCGUGAGACUUUUACAAGCCUCGGCAGUAAAACACAUUACGGUAUUGUGUACUACGUAAUCUCAAGGCUGCGGGUUCGAGCCCCGCGUGGGGCU